CCCUUAGAUGUUCUGGGCCGCACGCGCGCUACACUGAUGCAUUCAACGAGUUUCUUCCUGGUCCGAGAGGAAUGGGUAACCUUUUGAAAGUGCAUCGUGAUAGGGAUAGACUAUUGCAAUUAUUGGUCUUCAACGAGGAAUUCCUAGUAGACGUAGUUCGUCAGACUGCAUCGAUUACGUCCCUGCCCUUUGUACACACCGCCCGUCGCUCCUACCGAUUGGAUGGUCCGGUGAAGCCUCGGGAUUGUGGUUCUUGCCGCUUUAUUGUGGCGUGACCGCGAGAACUUGUCUAAACCUUAUCAUCUAGAGGAAGGUGAAGUCGUAACA
rnacentral:rRNA from 1 species